AAAAAUAAUAAGAGGUUAUCACCACACCUCCGGUGGGACUUAUGGGAGCUGGUACCAGCAUCACCAUCAUCAAAGCUGGAACCAAAGGCGCCAAUGUUAUCACCACAGCAGCUUAUCGCCGCCACCAGCUCCGCCUUAGGGUUCCUUAUCCAACAAGAUUGAAAGGUGUAUGCUUUUAAACAACUUCCAGCUUUCAUGGGAAAUCAACAAUUUUUUCAAUUUACAAAUGAUGAUUUGACUCUUCAUGUUCCUUUGGAAAGCCUCUGCAGACAGUUUAUUGGGUUGUGCUGUCUUUGACUUGCUGGUUAGACAAGCAAUGUCCUGAGCCAGCUAGGACCAGCAUGGAUACACCAACUUGGACCUGCCAAGCACCACUCUUAAGAAAACAUAGACCUGAAUGGACCAAUUUGUAAUAUGAACCAUUCCAUGUUCAUGAAUUUGUAUUUAUUCCAUUCAUUACAUGAAGCUAUUCAACAUCCAAAAUUCAAAAUAUACUUUCUUUUUCAACAUAUUUCCUUCAGUGUAUUAUAAAACACUAGUUUUUACAUUUCGCCUUUUAAUCCUACAUUAUAGUUGCUCAAAAUGAACCAAAAUAUUCUUUACACUUAAAUAUGAGAGAUGGUUCUCGUUGAAACCGACGAGUUACUGCCGGUUUCUUAAGUAGUCAAACCAUGUUCGGAAGUUAUUCCCUUUGGGAAAAAACAUCCUGUGUUUUCUUUUGUAACGACGUCGUAAGUGAAGUAAGAUGUGGCCUGCCAACUUUCCGGCUUCGACCAGUUGUUCAUGUGU